CCUACGGGAGGCAGCAGUGGGGAAUAUUGCGCAAUGGGCGAAAGCCUGACGCAGCGACGCCGCGUGAGGGAUGAAGGUCUUCGGAUCGUAAACCUCUGUCAGCAGGGAAGAACGGUCACUGUGCUAAUCAGCAGUGAAUUGACGGUACCUGCAAAGGAAGCACCGGCGAACGCCGUGCCAGCAGCUGCGGUAAUACGGAGGGUGCUAGCGUUAAUCGGAAUUACUGGGCGUAAAGCGCUCGUAGGCGGUAUGUCAAGUCAAGGGUGAAAUCCCCGGGCUCAACGUGGGAACUGCAUUUGAGACUGGCAAACUGGAGUGUGGGAGAGGAUAGUGGAAUUCGAGGUGUAGGAGUGAAAUGCGUAGAUAUCUGGAGGAACAUCAGUGGCGAAGGCGACUAUCUGGCACAUAACUGACGCUGAGGAGCGAAAGCGUGGGUAGCAAACAGGAUUAGAUACCCCAGUAGUC
rnacentral:rRNA from 1 species